AAGUCGUGGUUCGAGGCUGAGCGGGAAGUUGCCGCGACCGAGCUCAGGACCCAGAUCGUUCUCCUGGAGAGCCAGGGCGCUUCCCGGCGACCUCAGGAAAAGCUGGGAUGUCUGACUCCGCCGCUGCAAACCAGGGGGGUCCUGGAGCCCCGCGGGGUCGCGGGAAGCCCUCCUCGGUCUCCAGCUGCAGCCGAGGCAGCCGGGGCGGUCGGCCCUGCUCGUUCCUCCCGGCCACACGGGGCGCCCAGCGCCGACCGCCUGUUCCGGGGCGCUCUCCGCGCACCCCCAGACCCGUCGGUUUCCCACGCACCCGCCCCGAAGCUCCGCGCAUGCGCCACCUGCCGCUGCCCCGCGCUCCGCCCCCCCGCCGGCGAGGCCCGCGCACGCGUGGAAGCCCGGCGUCCGGGGCGGGGGCGCGCCCGGGGGCAGGCCGCGCGGCGAUUGGCCGGGAGCCGGCCACGUGACCGCGGCGGCGCCGCGCGAGCAUGCGCAGACUGGCUCUGCGCGCCCGUGACGGAACGACGAGGCGUGGGGGGAGCGCGACCUCGUCCGCCCGGCCCGGCCCCCGCCCCUUGGCCUGCCGCUCCGCCCCCGCGGGGCGUCCCGGGCCGCUCGUCCCCUCGGCGGCGGCCGCACGCGGCCCGGGGUCGCCUCUUUCCGGGGACGGAGCGCUCGCCCUGGAGCGGAGGCACCCCCUCCCCCGGGAGGACAAAGCCGGGAGUCAGGCCCACAGCUGUAUGUCGGGAUCCGAGGCUGCUUCCACUUAGACGAGAAGUUGUCGCAACCGAGAAGUGCCCGUGGACCCGGGGGAGGACCUUUGUGAUCCAGACUUGAGGCGCAUUUACACUGGGCCCGUUCCCGUGCAAAUCUGUGAGGUCUUCUGAGCUCCACACUUCACCCCGAACUGAGAGAGUGGAGGCGCUCCCCUCGCACAGUCUGUAUUUGGCCCAGCCUCUCUUGAAAGGUUCCCUCCUUCGCCUCAUUUAGACGGGAUCAGAUAGGUCUUUCUUGCUCAAUUCAUUAAACAACUCCUUUCAUGAGUUAUAACCACAUCGCAAGAAAAAUUGGAUGCAAUUACAAUUAGGACCUGUCCAAUGUGCUUAAGUCCCAGUUCCACUAUACUGAUGCUAAGCCACUUGCUCAGCUUUCCUACACCUGAUAUUUUUUUUUUUAAGAUUUUAUUUAUUUAUUCAUGACACACACACACACACACACACACAACACGAGGCAGAGACACAGGCGGAGGGAGAAGCAGGCUCCACACAGGGAG
rnacentral:lncRNA from 12 species